rnacentral:rRNA from 1 species
UACAGAGGUGCCAAGCGUUAGGCGGAAUCACUGGGCUUAAAGCGCGCGUAGGCGGAUGUUUAAGUGUCUUGUGAAAUCCCACGGCUCAACCGUGGAACUGCUGGGCAUACUGGACAUCUCGAGGCACUCAGGGGCGAGCGGAACAAGUGGUGGAGCGGUGAAAUGCGUUGAUAUCGAUAGGAACUCCGGUGGCGAAGGCGGCAUACUGGACCACCACUGACGCUGAUGCGCGAAAGCCAGGGGAGCAAACGGG